rnacentral:rRNA from 1 species
GAUGAACGCUAGCGGCAGGCUUAACACAUGCAAGUCGAGGGGUAUUUCUCUUCGGAUAUAGUGACCGGGGCAGGGGUGCGUAACGGGUAUGCAAUCUACCCUUUACAUAGGGAUAGCCCAGAGAAAUUUGGAUUAAUACCACAUAGUAUAUAGACUCGGCAUCGAGGUUAUAUUAAAGUAACAACGGUAAAAGAUGAGCAUGCGUGCCAUUAGCUAGUUGGUAAGGUAGCGGCUUAGCAAGGCUACGAUGGGGAGGGGUCCUGAGAGGGAGAUCCACCAGACUGGUAACGCGGCCCGGACCAGUAAGGUAGGGGACGGAGCAGAGAGGAAGACAGGAGAAGGGACGCUAGCCUGAUCCAGCCAUGCCGGGUGCAGGAUCACUGGGGUAUGGAUUGUAAACUGCUUUGAUAGAAGAGGAGCCGCUGCUAACUGUGCCAGCUUGACGGUACCGUAAGAAUAAGCACCGGCUAACUCCGUG